rnacentral:rRNA from 1 species
UACGGGGGGGGCAAGCGUUGUUCGGAAUUACUGGGCGUAAAGGGCUCGUAGGUGGCCAACUAAGUCGGACGUGAAAUCCCUCGGCUUAACCGGGGAACUGCGUCUGAUACUGGAUGGCUUGAGUUCGGGAGAGGGAUGCGGAAUUCCAGGUGUAGCGGUGAAAUGCGUAGAUAUCUGGAGGAACACCGGUGGCGAAAGCGGCUCUCUGGGACGGUACUGACGCUGAGACGCGAAAGCGUGGGGAGCAAACAGG